rnacentral:lncRNA from 1 species
AAAAAGGAGCUAAAACAGAGAUGAUUGUUCCUGCCCUUGGAAAGUAGAAAGUGAUGGAUAUUUUGAUCGGGCGCCCUGACGAAUGGCCUUUUUUCUGAACAAAUCCUUUCCAAGGGGACGAAAACUUGAGGAGAAAUUACUCUCUGUGCCUGAGGUCUGAUUAAUCUCUAACAUCAUUUCAUUAUUGAUGGGAAGGUUCUGGCUCCAGGUCUCAUAUUCAACAAUGCACGUUUGAACAAGGAGAGGCGCUUGGUAGAAAGAAUGCUGUUACUAGAAGAUAGAUCGUACCCUUGGCCAAGUAGAACACCAUCCCCAACAGAUCUCAAGUGGCCAGGGAGAAGUAGUCAACAAAAUCAAAAUAAAUGAGAGAUAAAACCGCCCAGCCCCUCAGAUGUCAGCGCCGAGCCUUGAAGGAGCUUCCUGAAUUGGGCCACUGUGUGCCAAAAAUCUGAGAAUGUCUUGUUCCCUUUAAAUAAAUCAAAACAUAAAACAAAGGCA